CCCUUAGAUGUUCUGGGCCGCACGCGCGCUACACUGAUGCAUUCAACGAGCCUAUCCCUGCCCGACAGGUCCGGGUAAUCUUUGAAUCUGCAUCGUGACGGGGAUAGAUUAUUGCAAUUAUUAAUCUUCAACGAGGAAUGCCUAGUAGGCGCAAGUCAUCAGCUUGCGUCGAUUACGUCCCUGCCCUUUGUACACACCGCCCGUCGCUCCUACCGAUUGGGUGUGCUGGUGAAAUGUUCGGAUCGGCCGUUUGUCGCGGUUUCCGCGUCAUGUGGCUGAGAAGUUCAUUAAACCCUCCCACCUAGAGGAAGGAGAAGUCGUAACA
rnacentral:rRNA from 1 species